GCGAUUAGCCUAAACAUUAGACAGCCAACAAUACACGUGCGCUACAUAAAUCACAGCCGCAAAUAAAAGUGAAAACGGAAACCAGUUUUUUAUCGCUAGAUUUAUGGAUUCUAUUACAAACAACAUUAUGUAAUGUAAUUAUUAUUUGUAAUUAGUAAUCAUUGAUCACAACAACUCUGCUUCUCCUGUAACAACAAACAUCUUUGGUUUUUGCACAAGCGAAUAAUUUUUCUCAAUUUUAUGUUACAUCAAGGAAAAUAAUACGUUUGUUUUGAAAUUCGUGUGUAAUGUAUUGCAUACUUUAACAUUUGCUUAUCAAAUAACAAGGAAUGACGUUGUAGUGUGCCUUGGAUUCGUGUAAUGUUGGUCACAUAACCUUUUUCAUGAUUAAUUGCAAAUGUCGUUACAAUUAAUUAGUGAUCAAAUUAAUCAAACCCAUGUGUAAAUGCUAAUAAAAUCGGUUUAGUGAAAUGAAAAAUGGUUAAGGCAAGUGUUGAAAGUGACCACGAACGUUUUCCAAGCAUUUGAACACCUCCGCUUAACACCGCCAAGAACAUUUUCUUAUAGGUGGUUUAAGUACUUAGAAAAUUGUCUUUUUCAAGAAAUAGCCCCUGAAUUUUUUGUCACUUGAAGUUACGUCACAAGCUCGAUCGUGGAAAUUCAUGUUCCCUAUCGACUGGUCAUAAAGUCUGUACAUAGAAGUUUCACUACCUUUUUCGGUCAAAAACUACCAAAUUGGAUCGAAUUUAUGCAAUGAGUGAGUAAAGUAAUUUUUUUAAAGGUGUAGGAACAAUUGCAAUUCUUAUGAGUAAAACAAAGGUAUUUUACUCACGAGUUGCAUACAACAUUUUUUCUACGUUCGUUAAAAAAUGUAGCAUUUUUUUCAUUUAAUAAUAUCUUCGGAUGUGCAAUAAAGCUUUCGUCAUUUUCACACGUUCUUUCUUUUUAAAAAAAUUCUUAACAAGGGAAGGUUGGAAAAAUUUGCGUUUUUUGUUCAAGUGUCAUAUACUUUAUAAACAGACAUGAAUGAAAAAAAAGUUACGUUUUCGCUUUCUUACGCAUUUGUUAAAAGGGAGCGAAAAGUGACUAAAUGUAGUUAAAAAUUUGAAUAUUUUUUCCUUUUCGCAAUUAUUUUCAACCAAAAGCCAAAAUGCAGCUUUCUAAUACGUUGGCGAACCACAAAUAAAUAUUCAAGUUGGUUUUUUGAUUUUUCAAAAUAAAAAAGUAAUUUUAAUGUGAAAAAAAAAAUCCGGAAAAUUGGGAUUUUUUCCAUCAGAUGCAGUGCGGCAUUGAACCAAGGUUGUAGCCAAGGCUCUUCAAUCACAUACAUCACGCUCGCAAUUAUUCCAACAAAACAUAUAAAUAAAAACCGCAGCUAAUUAUAAAAGUUCCGUUUUAUAUUUAACUGCUUGACGCACAAUUUCGACAAAAAUAGCCACCAAAAAAAAACCGGGGGCAAAUCGGGGGCUGUUUGGGUGAUUAAUGAGGGGUACAUUUCAUGUUACAUGUGGUGACAGUUGAGACGUGAAAAACUUAAUCUUGUGUCUGGGCUAAUUAUUUCAAAAAAUCCUCUAGAAUAUUUGAGAGAGGGCCUCAACGUAUUAAUUUCCUCGGCUAAAAUUAGAAAAAACUAAACAUAUGGACUGAUACUCGUCGAUUGGCAACACUUUAAUAAAUUUAUUACCGAACGGAAUAAUAGCAACAAGUAUUUUAUUUUAUUUUUUUUUUCAAUUCAAACACGAAAAUCCAGGUCUCCAUUAAUUGCGUUCCUAUCGCACAGUUGGAACCGAUUAAUCCUCGUCUAUUUUGUCGGUUUCAAACACGUGCCAAGUUUCAGUUUUGAUCGGCUUUGCAUGUAAACUAUUCAAUCAGAAAAAAAAACGAGUGAAUCGAUCCGUGUUUAUUUUUAAAGGUUCGGAAUUAUUUGGAGGCGAAACGUGAAGGUUCAGCGGCUUCAAAACUUCAAAAAUUUGUAAAGUUGAAUAAUUAAAAAUGUUUACAAUGUAGACUUAAGGAAAAAUAAUUGUGUGUGCGUUUUUUAUUGAUAAAAGUGUGCUUUGAAAUUUGAAAAAUCAAAUAACAAAUUGAAGAAAAUUCGCUUAAAGUCAAAUUUUUUUUAUUCACAUCAGAAGGUGUUUUGGAAAAUUAAUACAGGGUGAGUCAAUAGUUGGUUACUUCUGACAUGUCCUAAGAUGCAACCAAAAAUACUAAUUUCACUUACCACUUAGAUGUUUAGUUUAAUUUGACUCAACACUGGUUUUUUAUCUUUUAACUAAUAAUAAUCUAUAAUAAAAUUUUAGCAAAACUGCCAAGAAAAAUAACCUAUUAUUGACUCAUUCUGUGUUUUCGUUAAAAAUGACAAAAUUUUAACAAAAUUUUAAGUCGUACAAGCAUAUAAUCAAACUCAAAGUUGAUUAUUUAUUUUUGACUCGACAAUGUGUCUAAGAGCUGAUGACAAAUUUUUUUGAGCUAAUGUAGGAACUGAUUUUUUUUUCUGGUUAAAAAAUCUUUCAAAAAACAGUUUAGGCAUUUACAUUUAAUUUCAACGAGAUUUUUUUGAUAAAAUUUUGCAAACCAGUCCCUUAUCUGGUUGAAACUUUUGCAUUAUCGGUGUUUAACGUAAAACUAGUCACAUUUUCGACCCAAUUCAGCGACUUUUCGGUACAUUUUUAUUGAAAUUUUGCAUAAUUGAAAAAAAAUUCCCAGUACGUAUUUUUUGAGCCAGUUUUAUGGUUUUUCAAACUGGGUUUUAUAAAAAUAAUAGCACAGUUUUCAAUUCAACUGACGAAAUUUUGCAAAGUAAUUGCAUUUUUAAAUUAAAAACCUUGUGUAACAUAUAGAAGUUUAGCAACUUUUCAUAAUUUUCUCCAUAAUUCUGUGAUUUUUCGGUCGGAAAAUCGUGCGUCGUGGAAAUUGUGUUUACUUGUUUGUUGCGAAUGUUUAUUAAUCAGUUGGACUUUGUCCGCAUCUCGCCAUUUUGUCAGAAAGAGAGGAGGUUUUUCUUCUCAUUGAGUAAAAAUCUUCAUCGAAUUGCUAUCGAUUUUGGCACGCGUGCAAAUAGCUCGGCACUAAACGGCCGAUUUCCCGAAAUUUUCAACUGUAGCUAUUUUCAACUCGGCUAAAAUAAGCGCUCGAAUUUAUCAAACAUCUUUAAUAUUGGGAUCGAACGAUUAUCGUAAGUCCGUUAACACUGGCUUUUAUGGAUCAGAAGGGAACGAUUUAAUGGGACAGGUGUGACAGAUGGGGGUAAAAUUUAUUCCAAUGGCCAACGGCCAGUGCAAUUAAAUGUUGGCGCUGCGAAACGCCUUCAUUAACUUAUUUAUAAAUGUUUCAAACUGGUUUUUACGAAAUUUUGACUUGAUUGUGGACAAUUCCAACAAUUUAUCGCCCAAUCUGAAAUCAACUUUGAGAGUCGGUUUCACCAAUGUUGCUUAAAUUUAAUAAACAGUUAAAAACAAUCGUUACACUGAUUAUAACAAUUGUUUCUGAGGAUUUAUUCUACUGAGUUUGGCGAAACCGACCCAAAGUGAAAUAGGCAACACGCUCCAGACAUGAGUGUAUAUAAAAUUGCAUAACGUUUAAAAUUAAAUUAAUAUUUACAGAGCUAGUUUGUUAUGCAGCCAACAAUACAAGUUCCAGGUUUCACUGAUAUUUUUUCAUACCGAAAACUAUUUUACCAUUUUCUUGUUCUUACGACUAUUUUUUGCGACAUUUUUUGCUCCCCCAACUAUUUUUUGUGCAACUUUUUGCUCCCACAAAUACUUUUUGUGUAAUUUUUUGUAACUGUAAAUUUUAAAAUAAAAUUGAUUGUAAAUUUGUUCAAUGUUUGCUUUCCCAACCAUUUUUUUGCUCCCCAAAUUAUUUUUUGUGCCAUUUUUUCAACUGAAAAUUUUAAAAUUUGAAAUAAAUUUCUUAAUAUUUGCCUCCAACUAUUUUUUGUGCCAUUUUUUGCUCCCUUAAAAAUUUUUUGUGCCAUUUUUUGCUCCCAUAAUAAUUUUUUGCACCAUUUUUUGCUCACCCAAAAAUUUUUUGUGCCAUUUUUUGUAACUGAAAAUUUUAAAAUUUUUAAUAAAUUUGUUCCAACUGUUUUUUGUGCUAUUUUUUGGGCCCAUAAAAAUUUUUUGCGCCAUUUUUUUGCUCCCCCGAAAAUUUUUUGUGCCAUUUUUUGCUCCCCCGAAAAUUUUUUGUGCAACUUUUUGCUCCCUUAAAAAUUUUGUUACAGAAAAUUUUUAAAUUUAAAAUAAAUUUCUUAAUAUUUGCCUCCAAAAAUUUUUUGUGCCAUUUUUUGCUCCCCCGAAAAUUUUUUGUGCAACUUUUUGCUCCCUUAAAAAUUUUGUUACAGAAAAUUUUUAAAUUUAAAAUAAAUUUCUUAAUAUUUGCCUCCUAAAAUUUUUUGCGCCAUUUUUUGCUCCCCCCUAAAAUUUUUUUCGCCAUUUUUGCAAAUUUUAAAAUUUUAAUUUCAUUUUACGAGACAAGGUGGAGAAAUAAAACGAGUUUAAUGAAAGUGAUUUAUUAUUUCAUGAAUCAUGUUUACUUAAUCACAUUACACAAUUGUCCCUCUAAACAAAAAAUCUUCUUAGAAGAGAAAGAGAACAGAAAAAUAAACAGAUAAGUAUACACUUGAAAGUCGACUUCUUUUUUAAUAAUUCACUAAUACAAAAACAGUUUCAAUUUGUUAUUAUUCACUUUUUAAUAAUAAAAUUUAAUUAUAAUCACAUUUUCUUGUUGUUAUGAAGACUUUUUAAUAACUUGGGCAUCAUACAUGCAACAAACUUUCCUCGUGGAACGACGAUAAAAUAAAUAUAAGUAGAUUGAUUGGUUUUGGUGCAUUGAGGAGGCUAUACAAAGCGGUCGGAAUUUUCCUAAUUAGAGAUGGAAUGAAAUAAUCGUGAAAGCGAGGCACAAUAAUAAAUAUGUACAGAGCGCGCGCGAAUAAAAUACUAAUGAGAUUGAUUGAUUGCACCUGAAAAGAUUGCAAUUAAAAUAAAUAAGUUUCGGCAAAGUUAUAUGCACAUAUGCGUUCCCAAGCACCCUAUCAUCACAUAUGCUUAUGUUUCCACUAUAUUACACGGUGUUGUCUACCAUAUACAAUAUUUGUUUGUAAUAUAAUAAUUAUAUAAUUUAACAUUUUGUUGCUAUAGAGUCCGAGCCCGGACCUGCGGGGCUUUGGAAGCCCCUCAACAGUGUCUGAGAUCAGCUGGCGAGUGCAGGUCCGGCUUCGGAAUGUGAUGUGUGAUGAUUAUAUUUCAGUUGGAGCUAUUUUGACGACGGCUGACUGACUGACUGACUGACUAUAAGAUGAACACUUUUAGCAUGUUUCUUCUUCUUCUUCUUGCACUUCAAUAUCCCAAUCGAUUCAAUAAACAAUAUUUAAAAACAGAACAAUGUUCUAGUGUCAAGUCGUGCGUUGUUGAAAUAUCUAUGCGCUGCGCAUGCGCCGCCAAAUAUUCUUUUGAUUGAUUCUGCUAUGGACGACUAUAAGUUAGGACACAAAAGCGCACCCAAAGUGACUCGUGGAAAUUCAAAUAAUCAAAGGUAACAUUUUUACGAGAAACGUGAGAAAAAAUUAUACAGGAAGUCCCAACAAAUUGGUAAGUGUUAUGACUCAAGUUUGAACAUUCUUUUCUGGGAAUCUUAGUUUUUGAGCUUGUUUUUGUUAAAAAAAAAUAUAUAUUUUAGUAACAAGCAAAAUCAACCAAUCCGAAACAUUUUCGAAACACCUGUAUAUUUGAAGAUAAUUUUAGGUGAGGCAGGGAUAAGUACUGCAAUCUAUAAAAAAAAUCAUUAAUUUUUUAACAUUUACAAGUGAAUAAUGAAUUUUACCAUGGGACAGCCUGUACAUUUAAAAUUUGCACUUUGACCCUUAUUUUUCAAAACGAAAACCAGUAAAGAUACAAGAAAAGUGUUGGGAGAAAGUUGUAGAGAAUUAAAUUUUCUUUAGACGCUCAAGCGACGGUUUCGUUUCAUUUUACCGCUGGUCAAGUAUUGAAAAUUAAUUUAUACCUAAACCGUUAAAGAUGAAAAUACGAUGUCUGUAGCAAAUUUAAUUCUCUACAACUUUGUUUUUUUUUUUUGUCAAUUGAGAAUUAAAUUCGUUGUUCUGAAAACUGGUCGCAUUGACUAUUAACUACUGAGAAGAACUGUUGAGUCGUUUUGUGUCCUAACCUACAGUUAUCCAUAAUUCUGAGUAAUUAUCAUUUGGAUGUACACGGUACAUAUAACAAAUACUUGGCCGAUAUUCCAACAUGAUCAUCAGAGAGAGAGAGAGUUCGGUAAACACUCAUGUAUGUGAAGAACCACAUUUAAAAGCGUCUGUAUCACUCGUCUUGUAAGCGCAAGCAGCAAACGUCCGUUCGUUGAAUGAGUGGCUUGAGUCCGGAUCGGUCGUUCGUUUCGCUUCUUCUUUAAACUAGAAAUUGAAAAAGUCACCUAGGGGCCGUAACGUGUGGUCAGACACUGGGCUUGGGCCUGGGGCCCUGCUGCUGCUGCUGCUGCUGCUGCUGGUGGUCGGUGGAGGUCCGUCGGGGGCGCGUCGGCACGAUCACCACCGGCAGGGUCGUGUGCACGGGGGGCGGCGUCGGCGUCGCGCCCGCCCCCUUCUUGCCCCCGGUGAAAAUUUUAACAGUUCUAUGUAAAAAAUCAGUCUUUUGUCCGCUGCUUCCAGCUUCUGGCCGUUUGGUGGUGGCGGUGGAGCUCGACGACGAGGACAUCGAGUGGCAGCGCACGACCAGAGGCGCGCCGCCCCCGCCCGACCACUCGCCGCCGCCGCCGCUCGACGACGACGACGACGACGAACCCAACAGGCCCGCCGAGCUCGAGCGGUACGGGGGCGGCGACUCCGACUCGAGCACGGUGCGGUUAGGCGGCGGUCGGAUGCAUUUCUGGUGGAUUUCGGACUCCUGUGAAAAAAGCGGGUUUAAAGGGGGCUGGGGUGGUUUGGGGGCGGCGCACCUGCUCCGGGUCCCGGAUGUGCAGUCUGGAGGAGGUGAAAGGGUGCUGCUCCUCGCCGUCUGGCAUGGCUAUGUUGGGCGGCAGGUUGAUGGCAAUGUCGGUGUGAACUGCGUGCAGUCGCACUUGGCGGUCGCGUGUCGCCGCCAACUCUCGGGCCGCUCUUCCGCCUCGCAGACGGUCCAUGCCGCCCACCCCCGCCGCGGCGCCGGCGCUCACAACCGACAGCAUCUGCAACAACACAUGCCAUCACAAUUUGUUAAAAUAUGCGUUUUCGUAUGAGGGUUAUUCAAUUUUUUUUUUGGAACAUUUUUAAUUUAAAACACGUUGCUAUCAGAAACGUGUUUUAAAAUAGUUGUUAAAGAGUUAUAAUUUUGUAGUUUAAUGGUUUCAAAAGUACUGCAUUGUUUAAGGAAAGAAAGUUUGUAUAUUUUUUGUUUAUUACAAAUUAACUUCCACAUGACAUUAGACAAAUUAUCGUAACUUUUCAAAAAAGUGCGUCAAAAAUUGUCGAUUUUUGUUGAAUUAAUUCGCCAAGUUGGUUAUUUUCGGUCGGUGGUCGUGAGUCAGCCCCUCGAAAUAAUCUCCAUAUCCGUCUUCUUUGUUUGCAUUGUCAGUGGUGGCAUUUCCACAAAAAACGCACAACUCCGUCUGUGUGUACAUUACGCGUUUCGGUCCGUUAAUCGCGCCAAAGCCAGUGGCAAUAAGCAACAAAAUUGUGCAUUUAAACCGAGUCACAAGCAAAGACACGGGCAGGCAGGCGAGUGGGUGCAGCGGUAUGAAGGUUACCGUUUAAGAUCGACGAUUGUUAUCUAACAACGACCCACGUGCCGAUAAACAAUGACAACAUUCCUAGCCUUGCCCAUUAUAACGACUUCGUAAAUCAUAAAAAUGGACACGAGAAUACAACACAACAAAAAUUACUCCAAUUUGAGGCAACAAUCACGCAAUGAUUAAUUUUUUGUGUGCGAACGCAGACGACGACGACACCCAAUUAGCCGACUCAUAACCCUCAUUUAAAUUCCAAUUAUUUCAAAUCGUGGAUUAAAGCACUUUCACAACAAUAAAACCGAACCUCAAUCAAGUCCGAACUCCCGAAUGGAGUAGUAAAUUGUGGCUUAAUUUAGGGUGAAAUUUUGAAUCAGAUCAGACGCCUUUGAAAUGAGAUUGGAGAAGCGCUGCUGACGUAGGCAACUUUAUCUACACGUUGGUGUAUGUGCGGGUGCAUACACUCAUGAUUAUUUCAACUGAAUGAGCGACAAUAAUCAAUUAUGAAAGCAAUUUUUAAUUUGAAAUUUGAUUGUUAGACGUGCAGACUGCCUUGAACGGAAAGUUAUGAAUAAAAUUAGCACAUAAUUCGUUUCAGUUCAAUAAAAAAUUGUAGAUUGACAGAUGUCAAUUGAACAACAGAGCCGCCUUUUUCCGCGUGUGACCUUUCCACAAAUAGAACAGCAACGUGUUAGUGACGUUUUUCUUAUUAAUCCCACUGGUGCCAACUUUUGGCUAUGAUUUAUUGUCGUAAUAUGGCGUGGGUGUUGUUGUAAACGAUUUUUUUUUGAAGUUUGAAACACUGCACUCGAUUUUUUCUCACUAGAGGGCGCUUUGGCAAUUACCGGUGAAAUACCGCACAAUGCGAAGCUCCUAAUUAAGGAUAGCAUUGUGGAAUGGAGGAGCGAAGUCGUCGUAAUUGCUAAUUGCCGUCGUGACAUAUAACGGAGGGUUUGUGUGUGUGCACCCACACUUGGAGGAGGCUUCUUGAGGUCGACGACCGCACACCUGCCGGCUUUCUCUCCUCUCUCCCAACCACCUGCACAAACACCACCGCUUAUCGGACCCUUAUGAUGGAUGGGCACCUGCCUUAAGAGCGACUGACUUCUUCAAUAUUAAUGGGGUCGUUAGGCUGCCACCAGACGAAUUGCCAACGGACUGACGUGGGGCUGAAACGCACGUACGCCAAGACGACAAUAAACGCGGAUUCCCCGGGAGGACACGUGGGGCGAACGACGAGACGAGAAAUUUCGAGAAUUUUUUGGGCCGAGGCGUUCAUAUUAAGUUGUUUUUUUUACUAGAUUAUCAGUGCCUACCACCACGCACAAUUAAAAAAAAAGUGGCCGGAUGUUAAAACUUGAAAAUUUUCACUGUCAAUUUGUCCGCUUAAAGGAGAGAUUUUGUUUUCAUUGCUCUGAAUUAUUAGAGUCCGCCUAAAAUUUCAUUUAAUACCAUUUCAAAUACGUUAGCUUAAAACGGGGCUAACAAAAAUGUCCGUUUGUCAGAGGUGUCCGCUUAUAUAACGUGUCCGUUAAGAGAGAUUUUACUGUAGUUGUAGUUAUUUUUCUUAAUAAAAUCGAUUAUUCCUUUA